CCUACGGGUGGCAGCAGUGAGGAAUAUUGGUCAAUGGCCGUAAGGCUGAACCAGCCAAGUCGCGUGAAGGAAGAAGGAUCUAUGGUUUGUAAACUUCUUUUAUAGGGGAAUAAAGGUAUCCACGUGUGGAUAUUUGCAUGUACCCUAUGAAUAAGCAUCGGCUAACUCCGUGCCAGCAGCCGCGGUAAUACGGAGGAUGCGAGCGUUAUCCGGAUUUAUUGGGUUUAAAGGGUGCGUAGGCGGGUUAUCAAGUCAGCGGUAAAAUCGUGGAGCUCAACUCCAUCCAGCCGUUGAAACUGAUGAUCUUGAGUGGGCGAGAAGUAUGCGGAAUGCGUGGUGUAGCGGUGAAAUGCAUAGAUAUCACGCAGAACUCCGAUUGCGAAGGCAGCAUACCGGCGCCCGACUGACGCUGAAGCACGAAAGCGUGGGUAUCGAACAGGAUUAGAUACCCGAGUAGUC
rnacentral:rRNA from 1 species